GAUGAACGCUGGCGGCGUGCCUAAUACAUGCAAGUCGAGCGAACAGACGAGGAGCUUGCUCCUCUGACGUUAGCGGCGGACGGGUGAGUAACACGUGGAUAACCUACCUAUAAGACUGGGAUAACUUCGGGAAACCGGAGCUAAUACCGGAUAAUAUAUUGAACCGCAUGGUUCAAUAGUGAAAGACGGUUUUGCUGUCACUUAUAGAUGGAUCCGCGCCGCAUUAGCUAGUUGGUAAGGUAACGGCUUACCAAGGCAACGAUGCGUAGCCGACCUGAGAGGGUGAUAGGCCACACUGGAACUGAGACACGGUCCAGACUCCUACGGGAGGCAGCAGUAGGGAAUCGUCCGCAAUGGGCGAAAGCCUGACGGAGCAACGCCGCGUGAGUGAUGAAGGUCUUCGGAGCGUAAAACUCUGUUAUUAGGGAAGAACAAAUGUGUAAGUAACUAUGCACGUCUUGACGGUACCUAAUCAGAAAGCCACGGCUAACUACGUG
rnacentral:rRNA from 1 species